UUAUCAAAGGUAUAUAUCUUCUUCAUUUUGAACCCAAUUAUGUGAUGAGGUUUAGUUUCUUUCAAGAGCAUUGAUGCAAGAGACACAAAGCAACAACUAAAACUUAAGCUUGCAGUAGAGCAUGAAGUACUCCUUCAACAAAUAUGCAUGGCAUGGGGGCAAAGACUAAGUGUAUCUCAAAACAGAUCCAGUACAUCAGACACACUUGUGACCUUCCUUGGGGACAACCACAGCAGUGUAAACUUGCCUUAAAGGACCAGUAACACCAUUUUUUUUCAUUAAAAAAAUCAAAACUACACCCUCCAAAUAAUACCCAUAUCCUAUUGCUUUUUAUAUUAACCUUAGGUUUAGCUAAGAAUUCACUUAUAAAAAUCCCCUCCAUGCUCUAAUGAAAAACGGCGACCAGCAGCUGCAGCUUCUACCUAUAAGCGCGUCCCCGACAGCUCUCCUCCUCACGUGACUUCCGGAACCAGGAAGUCACUUCAUUUUCAGAGCAGCCAGAGAGGAUCCAUAGAGCGACGCUGCGCACAGAGCUGGGGAGUAAAGGCACACAACGGAAUGGCUGGGGAGGACCUGCACAGUGGAAGGGCUGCUUCAAUGAUCGGCCAGGGCUGGGAGGGAGGCACACACACACGGAAGAGCUGGGGGGAGAGGCACACAAAACGGAAUGGCUGGGGAGGUCAGGCAAAGUGGAAGGGCUGCUUCAACGAUCGGUGAGGGCUGAGAGGGAGGCACACACACACGGAAGAGCUGGGGGGAGAGGCACACAAAACGGAAUGGCUGGGGAUGACAGGCAAAGUGGAAGGGCUGCUUCAACGAUCGGUGAGGGCUGAGAGGGAGGCACACACACACGGAAGAGCUGGGGGGAGAGGCACACAAAACGGAAUGGCUGGGGAGGUCAGGCAAAGUGGAAGGGCUGCUUCAAAGAUCGGUGAGGGCUGAGAGGGAGGCACACACACACGGAAGAGCUGGGGGGAGAGGCACACAAAACGGAAUGGCUGGGGAUGACAGGCAAAGUGGAAGGGCUGCUUCAACGAUCGGUGAGGGCUGGGAGGGAGGCACACACACACAGGAAAGAGCUGGGGGGAGAGGCACACAAAACGGAAUGGCUGGGGAGGACAGGCAAAGUGGAAGGGCUGCUUCAACGAUCGGCGAGGGCUGGGAGGGAGGCGCACACACACACACACACACACAUGGAAGGGCUGGGGAAGAGAGAGGCGCACAUGUCAGAGGCUCGUGGAAUGGCUGGGGCUUGAUGAGAGGCAGUGGAGGGGAACAGUUUGUUAGAACAGAUAAGAGCAUGCUGACAGCGCAACAGGUAACUAGUGGUUGCUAGGUGAUGUCACUUCCGGAAGUGACAUCACAAACUAGGAAGUUGGAUCCCGAAGGACAGGAAGAGGCUCACAGCGGCGCGCAGGCAGAGAGAAGAGGCUUUUCUAGUGCUGCAAGAUGGCGGGCCCCAUUGGACUCCACAAGAAAGUUGCGGUUUCCAUUUGUAUCGGUUUCCUUACUAGAAAGCAGGAUGCAGCUGCAUAUUUGAUGUUACUUAUGUAUGGGAUCAACUAUGCAGAAUGCUUGGGAUCUGGGAUUAUCUGGAUGAGGCAUCAUGGACUCUUUGGGAAAUGGUCUUCACGUAAUUUAGAGCUUUCUGGAUAAGGGAUCAUGCACUUGUAGAAGAAACCAUUUUCUCCCUUGGGUAAAAUAUGCAAAUACAAAACAGCUUGUACUUUCAUGCUUGAUUUAUUUUAAAGGAAUGUAUUAUGAUAAAUGUUGAACAAACAGCA